GCCGGGCGCAGUGGCGGGCGCCUGUAGUCCCAGCUACUCGGGAGGCUGAGGCAGGAGAAUGGCUUGAACCUGGGAGGUGGAGGUUGCAGUGAGCCAAGAUCAUGCCACUGCACUCCAGCCUGGGCAACACAACAAGACUCUGUCUNNNNNNNNNNAGACAGAGUCUUGUUGUGUUGCCCAGGCUGGAGUGCAGUGGCAUGAUCUUGGCUCACUGCAACCUCCACCUCCCAGGUUCAAGCCAUUCUCCUGCCUCAG
rfam:Chlorocebus sabaeus isolate 1994-021 chromosome 6, whole genome shotgun sequence.